rnacentral:sRNA from 1 species
GAGACGCGACGUCGAAGCCCAUUUGGA